rnacentral:lncRNA from 1 species
CCAGACAGAGCAGAAGCAGCCUUCGUUAUUUCUCUGUGGGGACGGAGCAUCCUCGAGCGUGCGCCCGCCUCGCGAGUUUACACGCAGUCUCCAUGCUUGGAUGCAGCCGUGUGGUCAGGCUCCAGCGGCCCAUGAAGACUUUCUCUUGUGUGCGUUUCGACGGGUUCCUCUUCUCUGCGCGGAGCUGAAGAAAGGAAACAAACCGCCCCAUCUUCUCGGCUCCCAGGCUCCAUGUUUAAUACAGAUAGAAGUGACAGAUUCCGGAGUGAGAGCAGACCCAGGUCUCGGAUCUCGCCUCUGGUUUGAACAGAGUUCAGAGGAGCGGUUCUCGAGAAGAGUGAAACGCGCCCACCGGCGUGAGGGUGUCAGGCCCCGGCCAGGGAGCCCUAGGGCCACCCUUUGCUUUGCCCACAACCUGUGGCUACAGCAGCGGUAACGGACCUAGGCAUACUUUCACGUUACACAGAACCUCAAACAUUUUUACUUUUCCGGGUCAUCAGAAGAAAUGUAGCUAUCGAAUGUGUAAACAGAUGGGUGGGAAUCCUUCCUCCGUGGAAUUAAUAUUACUUAGGGAGCUACAACUGCUGAAGAAUUGUUUUGGUUCAUAUACAAAUAAUGUGAGAAAGUUCUUUAAGGCAUCCAUAUAAUUAACUUACGAAUCUGAGAAGUUACACGGAUUUAAUAAUAUGUGUUCUGGAAAAAUUCAAGUAUUUUUCGCUCGAAAAGCUAAAUUAAUAAUUACCCAGUUUUUUUGUUUUUGUUUUUAAUUUUGCCACGGAGUGUAUACUCAAUCUCCCAAAUGUUUGGCAGAUUGGAAGUGGUUUAUGUCCACUACCUUUUUGAUGUUUCAACUUUAUUAUUGGAGUGUUAAGGUCCUAGACAAAGUAUCCAGUUUGUUACAACAAUAAAACAUUAAAUUCACAGGCGCCCAGGAACAUAUUCAUUAAAUUGACACACUCUUGGUUUAAAUUCCAGCUGUUAAGAUUUGUUUGACAGUGACAGAUAAAAAUAAUAUAUCCCAUGUUUUUAAAAGUAGUUAUUUCGUUAGAUAUAAUUUUCAAUAAAACAAAGUACAUUUAAUCCAGGGGAAGGGGGAAUCAAUACAAUUUGGUAGCAAGCUGAUCAGUUUGCUAUUAAAAAAUAUUAAGUUAUAUGAUCAUAUUCAAAGUGAUUUCCAGAAAAGCAAACAUUACAAAUCAAAACAUUUCUCCAACAAGGCUUGGUUCACAAGUACUACAAAAUUAAAUUCGUAAAAUUUAUAGUGAUUUUUUUUGAAUGCCACAGAAGUCUAAAGGAAUACAUAUUUUCCUUGAGAGCUGCUUCUCUUUCCAAAUGCAUGAAGGCGAAGAAUAACUUUUUAAAAUAGCUAGCUUAGCCUUAAAAAUUCACUUCCAAAGAUGUUCUUUCCAGAUUUCCAAUAGUUCUGAAUACUGUCUCAUAAUUUCAUAAAGACCAUUUUACUAAAUUAAACUUAGGUGAAAAUACUAUUAAAGUUUGUUUUCAUUUAUACAGUUGGGUUUGCUUAGCAGGAAAGAAAAACCUGUUAGAAAGAAUAGUUGCAUUGAAAAUGGGUGAUCUGACACCUUCCGGUUACUUCACACAGAAUUGUAAGUUCCUUUUAAAGACAAAAUGCAAAUACUCUAGAUCUUUCAAUAAUUUCACGUUUUAAAAACAAGCUGCUACUUGUUUUUCUGUCAGAGAUAAAGUAUUAUUAAGUUUUUUUUUUGAAAGAGAACACCAUAUCAAAUUAUCAAUUGCUGAAGGCGUUUGUAGUAUGAAGCACAUAUUUUCUCUAUUCACAUUUUUCAACUUGCGAGAGUAGCAAAACAUUAGAUUUCUGCCUGUAUUUUCAGGCUAUAUAGAGCUUAAUUUCAGUCAUCCAAACCCGGCAAUUUCUCUUUUCCAUAAAAUGCCUGUUAAAAAUAUAUCACAAGUUAUCUUUGAAGCCUUUGAGUAGAGCACACAACCAUUAAGCCACAGUUGAAGGUUUUCACAAGGACAGGGGUACUGCCCUUUUUUCCCUAUUCCUGUUCUCCGGCUCACAUUUAGUAGGAUCAGGAAGGCUCCACCGGGCCCAGACCCAACCCCCCAA